CGGCGGACGGGUGAGUAACGCGUGGGUAACCUGCCUCAUACAGGGGGAUGACAGUUAGAAAUGACUGCUAAUACCGCAUAAGACCACAGCACCGCAUGGUGCGGGGUAAAAACUCCGGUGGUAUGAGAUGGACCCGCGUCUGAUUAGCUAGUUGGUAAGGUAACGGCUUACCAAGGCGACGAUCAGUAGCCGACCUGAGAGGGUGACCGGCCACAUUGGGACUGAGACACGGCCCAA
rnacentral:rRNA from 1 species